rnacentral:rRNA from 1 species
UACGUAGGGGGCGAGCGUUGUCCGGAUUUAUUGGGCGUAAAGGGCGCGUAGGCGGCCGAUCAAGUCAGAGGUGAAAGCCCAAGGCUCAACCUUGGAAUUGCCUUUGAUACUGUUCGGCUAGAGACCGGAAGAGGUUAGUGGAACUGCGAGUGUAGAGGUGAAAUUCGUAGAUAUUCGCAAGAACACCAGUGGCGAAGGCGGCUAACUGGUCCGGUUCUGACGCUGAGGCGCGAAAGCGUGGGGAGCAAACAGG